rnacentral:rRNA from 1 species
UGGGGAAUAUUGCACAAUGGGCGCAAGCCUGAUGCAGCAACGCCGCGUGAGGGACGAAGGCCUUCGGGUUGUAAACCUCUUUUAGCAGGGAAGAAGCGAAAGUGACGGUACCUGCAGAAAAAGCACCGGCUAACUACGUGCCAGCAGCCGCGGUAAUACGUAGGGUGCAAGCGUUGUCCGGAAUUAUUGGGCGUAAAGAGCUCGUAGGCGGUUUGUCGCGUCUGCUGUGAAAACUGGAAGCUCAACUUCCAGCCUGCAGUGGGUACGGGCAGACUAGAGUGCGGUAGGGGAGAACGGAAUUCCUGGUGUAGCGGUGGAAUGCGCAGAUAUCAGGAGGAACACCGAUGGCG